rnacentral:lncRNA from 1 species
UAUACAAGUAGUAUACCAAAAAGUAGAAAGCCUAAAUAUAUAUGUUUUUCUACAAACAACAUUCAAUCUUCUAUACUCCCUCAAAAGCUCUCCUACUUCGUUCCUUCCAAACAACCCACAUAAAAGCUAAUAACACAAAUUUCACACCCUACGAUUUCUCCUACUUCCAUAACUCCAACUGGCCAUAACCUCUAGUAUCACCCAAAAAAAAACUAGGUAAAAAUCUCCCAUAGUAAUCUCGAUUCCGUCAGACAAUGAAUGAGUAGAUGGUUGACAUUAAAACUAAAACUCAUGAUGUACUUGGCUAUUUCAGGUACUACUCACAACAAUGGAGGGCAUGGGCUGCAUGCUUUAUACAAGUAGCAUGGCGUCGACACCGCAGGAAUAAGCUCGAGAAAUCCUUAAGAGAGGAAGAAGAUAAACUGCAGGCUACAUCAGCUAAAGAGAGCACAAAUGCACCAAGUAUUGGAGCUGCCAUAUAUGCAUCAAGGUUUGCAGCUAAUAUGCUAUGCGCCUUGCGACGCAACAAUACAACUGGUACCAAAUCAUCUCCCAAAUUACCUCUGCUGCUUCAUAAACCAGCUGAACCAGAUUUUAGUGAGAAAAACGAUUCAUGAGGUUGAGUGGCUAAUUAACUGGAGAUGUUGGAAUAUUUCAUAUAAUGUAUUUCCUGAGUCAGUAGUACAUUUUCUAUUUGGAGCCUCUUUUUUCUACUCCCUAAGUUCCGUUUUAUGUGGUACACUUUUCUAUUUAGUUCGUUUCAAAAAGAAUGUUAUUGUACUAUAUUUAGAAAUAAAAUUCUCCUUUUACCUUUAAUGAAAUGAUUUAGUGUCAUAUAAAUAUCUAAAUUUUGUUUUAGAUCAUAUAUGUUUCAAAAGUCUUUUUUUUUUCUUAAAUAUUGUGUCAAGUCAAACAAUGUCACCUAAAAUAGGACGAAUGAAAUAUCAUUUUCAAAACAAACUAAAAAAGAAAAAUAGAUAUUUUCGAAAGGAUGAAAAUACUGUAUUUUUAAAUAAUAAAUUUCAUAAAGAAAUGAUCACAUCAUGUAUGAAAUGAAUAUUCAAUUGAUCUUUUUUUUCCCACAAAAAAGUGAAUAUUAUAUAAAAUAACAUUUUUUUAUUAUAUAGAUUAGAAAAUUGUUAACAACAUACCUUUAGACGAGUCUUCUGAAAAGUCAGCAAGUAAAAGUACUUCAAAUAAUGGAAAAAGUUGGUACGUAGUUUUCAUGGCAUUUAUGUGGGACCCAACCAAGCAUGUAGAGAAAUUUCUUAGGGCUUGUUUGGAAAUUACUAGUUUAGUAAUUAUAAAAAUCAAGUAUUUAUAAAAUAUUUUUUUGAAAAAUGUCAUUGUAUGAUAAAUGCAUGUAUAUAUAAGAACUAUUAAAAAUGAAUAAAGAAAGAAUUUGAAAAGUCAUUUAAUAAUCGAAAAAGUGUAACUACACCUUCUCAAUUAAAUUCAAUAUAUAUAAUUUUUUACUAAUAAUGUAAUUACUUACCAGACCAAAAAGUCAAACCAUAUUAAUACACUCAAUCAUACCUAAAUCUAGUAACAAGGUAAUCUUCUAAACAAACACUUAUUAAAAAGGGAAAAAAGAAACAAUAGUUUUUUGUCUGGCGGCUCGAUAUUCAUAUUAGAACGCGACUAAAUUUUAGAUUAGCAUUGGAAAAUCCCACAUUGGGGUAAUUUUGGUGUGGAAGCAGGGGCUAGAGGGUAAAACACUUCUUAAUAAAUCCCUAAUAAAGACGAUUUUGACUUUCUAUAUCUAGUAGGGUCCAAACUUGAAACAAUUAAAGUACGAAGAAAUAAUACUUAUUUUUUUGGUUUUUUUCAUCCAGUGUCUGAUAUCGACAUUAGAGCUUUGACUAUUUCGAAUUUGUGUUGCGUAAGGCCUCAUUCCGGGGGAGCUCCCUAACAAUAAGGAUGUUUUCAUACUUAAGACUUGAACUCAAGACCCUUUUAAUUAAGGAUGAAGUAAUCUCAUCCGCAGCACCACGUCCACUGGUAGCUGAAAGAAAUAAUAUCUUUGCUAGAUGUGUUCAUUGACUUGUGACUUUUCUCCCACUUAAGUCUUUUCAGUUUUCUGGAAAAAAGACCAAGUCCUCCUUCCUAUUAACUCAAUAAGAUGACUGCCUUUUCAUAGCAAUAUCUAGGAACUUUCUUAUACAGAAAAAAUUGACACACAUAUACAUAUUACUUCUCCUAAACUUCACUUCAUUAUUCAAUGCCCAUGUAAGUUAUCUCCAAAUUAUGUUCAUUUCACCAUGUAAGUUUCUCUAUGCUUAAGUUAAUUUCUCAAGGUUCAAACUUCUUUUUUAUACUUUUUCUAUAGUUUUGGUUUUAUUAGUUCCUUUUAUAUGAGUUGUUGAUGUUCGGUAUUUGCUCUGGUUUUCUUAUCAUAUUUGGAUUCGUUUUACUUGAAGGAAGGGCAAAACACUUGUCAUAAGUAGUAUCUCUUUCAUAUUUAGCUAAUCCUUUUCUCGAAUUUCGUAUUCUGAUCUUUUUGUACUAGUGAAUUGUUCAAACCAUGUUGAUUUAUUAUAUCUUUGUAUUGUCUGGUUUAUCGUCCUUCAAGAUUUGCUUUGACUGACAUCUGGUUAUUUCGAUCUCAAUAUUUGAGACUGCUAUAUGAUCUGAUUUCAAAAGUUCAUGUUGCAUGAAGCACAAAAGUUUCUUGCCUUUUAAAUUAUAUUAUUAUAUUGUUUUUUUGGAAUUACAACAACUACUACUACGCCUCAGUCCAGAACAAGUUGGAGUAUUUGAACUAUAAUUACAACUUCAAAUUUUGCACUAAUUGAGUUUUACAUAUUUGUUGUUUUUUGAACAGAGAAGCUGAAAUAUGAUGAAUCCCAACCAGGACAAAUAUGUAAGGUUAGUUCAAUCAGCCUCAUAUACCAAGAAAUGUCCAAUUAUUUUUAUUUUGGCUUGAGCUAAAAAUUCCAUUAUCACAAGCUUACAUAAACAUCAUGAUACAAUAUCGAUUCGAGCUACAUGCUAGAGGAAUUAAUUUGAGAAAAUAUGUUAAUCAAUGAAACUAACAAGAUAGGACCUCAAUGGGAACACCGAGGGGUUCAUCAUAAAAUAUAUAUCCUUCAAAAAUAUGUGAUUUUCCUCCAAAGGAGUUCAGAUGAACCUACUUCCGCCCUCUAGCUCUGCGCCUGCUUAGACUCUAACCGGGCGUUUUUGUACUUAGGUUUGAGGAUUGGAAGUCAGAACAAUCAUCCUUCAGCAUUGACAAUGAAAAUUCUCAGGAUAAUAGGCCAUUUUAUGUCAGAAAACCAUCAUUAAGCUCGUUGAUGAGCAGCGUUAAAAGAAGGUUCGAGAGGGGUUCUGAAAGAAUUAGUAGCUGGAGAAAAUCAAUUCGAGUGUAUCCUCUAACUGAUAAGCCAACAAAAGAUCAAUAUGUAGAACCAAAGAAGAAAGUUCAUGAUCCUCAGGGGAGAUUUCUUCAGCAAUGGAACAAAGUAUUUGUAUUGGUUUGUAUAAUUGCUGUGUCACUGGAUCCGUUGUUCUUCUACAUUCCUGUCAUUGAUAACGACAAAAAGUGCCUCGAUUUGGACAGGACGCUAAAGAUCACCGCUUGUGUUCUUCGUUCUAUCACUGAUCUUUUCUAUAUCUUUCACAUUAUCUUGCAAUUUCGUACUGGCUACAUUGCUCCUCCUUCUCGAAUAUUUGGAAGAGGUGAGUUGGUUGAAGAUUCCUAUGAUAUAGCCAAGCGAUAUUUGUUAUCACAUUUCAUCGUUGACGUUGUAGCAGUCCUUCCACUCCCACAGGUUUGUGUCCUCAAAAGCUUGUGUUUUUUGGCAUUCUCUUAGCUUAAGAGAGUAUGAUAUUAACAAGUUUAACCUUGUUUUUGUGCAGAUUGUGAUAUUGGUUGUCACUCCCAACGCGAAUGGCUCUAUUGCUUUGGCGACGAAAGAAAUGUUAAAGAUUGUCAUUUUUGCUCAAUAUUUUCCAAGAAUUUUUAGAAUUUAUCCAUUGUGCAAAGAAGUAACAAGGACUUCAGGCUUAUUUACUGAAAGUGCAUGGGGUGGAGCUGUUUUCAACCUUUCCCUCUACAUGCUAGCCAGUAAUGUAAGUUCCCUUUCAACCAAUAGAUGAUCAACAUUACGUAAAAGAUAGAGAUAAUGAUCAAAAACACACCAGAACUAUUACUUGUUUUGCAAGUUUCACACCUCAACUAUCAACUGUUCUCUUUUUCAACCUGAACUAUCACCACUUGUUCCGUUUUCCUAUCAUCAUAUAUGUAUUAAAACACACCUAGUUGAGUAGAUGGUGACAAUCCAGGUAAAAGGGAACAACUAAUAGUUGAAGUGUGAAACUCGUGAAAACAUGAUAGCUCAAAUGUGUUUUUGACAAUUAACUCAAAAAGAUAAUUACAAGUAACUGUUCAUAAUAAAUGGAAGUAGUAACAUGAUAAUGCAGCUAGUUAAAUUACAUUAAAAACUGUCAGUGUAUAUAAGUUGAGUCGACUCUUAUAGGUGCAAAUUAAAUGUGUGAUCUCAGGUAAUUGGAGCAUUUUGGUAUUUGUUCUCAGUAGAACGCCAAGAUACAUGCUGGCGCAAUGCGUGUGCAAAGAUCCGUGGCUGUUCAUUAGACUACUUAUAUUGUGUCAAAAGUUCGAUUGAAAAUGCUUCCUUACUGAAUUCUUCUUGCCCUCUCGUGAAACAAGAAGAUAUACAUGAUCCAAAUGUCUUUGAUUUUGGAAUCGCUCUUGAUGCUCUUCAGUUUCGGAUUGUGGAGAAAAGGAAAUUCUGGACCAAACUCUUCUAUUGCUUUUGGUGGGGGCUGAGAAACUUAAGGUCUGUUCACUUUUUCUUACUCGUAUACAUACAUUUUGACCUUGGUUUUCUUACAAGCUAUUAAAGUAUUGCGGACGUUCUGAAAAUUCCUGUGUUUUGGACAACAACUCUGUUUGUAUUUGACUGCUACUACGGUAAAAGAGUCAUGUUUCUUCAUAUGAAUUAGGUUUGGACCAAAGAAAAAAAACACAGCAGAGCAAAGAGGUUUCCAUGAGAUUCAGUUUCGCUCAAGUAGCGGAUUUUAGCCUAGUGAUAGGAUCUUCUGAUCAACCGAGAGACCAUUUGGAUUCCAUACUCCAUCUAUACAAGUAACGAACUCUAGCCAAAUGUAGGUCGUGAUGCGCCUUGAGAUGGCUAGUGGGGAAUCCCCUCACAUGUGGUUGCUCUAUUGCGUCUGGCCUGUCGUUUAUAUUGAGGCAUUAUAUAUUGUUUUUUUAGCACUCAUCAUUAGUGGUCCUUGAUACAUUCAGAUAAACUUUUCUACUAUCAACUUCUGAUGUUUAUCUCACUUAUCAAGUAGCUAAACAAUUUUAAUGAUUUUUCAAGAAUGUAUGAACAAAAUCAGCAUGUUAAGUAACUUCCAUAAUUCUAUAACUGUCUCUUUGGACUGUGUUAAGAACUAAAAUUUCUUCUUACAUGUUUCAGUUCUCUUGGCCAAAACCUGAAGACAAGCACUUUCGUCGGAGAGAUUCUCUUUGCCGUCUUCAUCUCAAUUAUCGGGCUUAUCUUGUUUUCCUUGCUUAUUGGCAAUAUGCAGGUCAGUACAGUACCACCCUUUAUCAUGAAUUGAGUUCCAAGAGAUUACACAAAACACUUAAUUUGUUAUGCACUAUCAUUUUUCAACAAAGAAACCGUAUCUCUACCUCUCACAAGGUAGGGGUAAGGUUUGCGUACACCCCGCCCUCCCUAGACUCUCCACUUGUGGGAUCAUUCUGGGUAUGUUGUUGUUGUAUUUCAGGAAAGGUCGAUGCUCAAAAAUUUCCUAUUUGCUAAACUAGAUAUAACUAGAUAAAGUUUGAGUAAUUUUGUAUUGGUUAUGGAAACAGAAAUAUUUGCAAUCUAUCACGGUUAGAGUAGAAGAGAUGAGAGUGAGAAGGCGGGAUGCAGAACAGUGGAUGUCUCAUCGCAUGCUUCCUGACAAUCUGAAAGAGCGAAUUAGACGACAUGAACAGUACAAAUGGCAAGAAACCAGGGGAGUUGAGGAAGAUUUACUGCUUCAAGAUCUUCCUAGAGACUUGAGGAGAGAUUUAAAGCGCCAUCUCUGUUGGUCUUUUCUCAAAAAAGUAAGUACUUAUCACAUUAUAAUUAUCCCUGUCCAACUUCAGCAUGUGUUGUUGUAGUAUUGUUCCAUUACUAUAUGUUGUUUCUUGUACUUCCAUUACUUUUUUUUUGGACUGUUGUUUUCUUGAGCCAAAGAAUCUGUCAGAAACAACCUCUCUACCUCUGAGGUAGGGGUAACGUCUGCGUACACUCUACCCUCGCCAGACCUCACUGUGUGGGACUACACUGGAUAUGGUGUUGUUUUUGUUGUUGUGUUGAAAUGGUGUUUUAUAGUGAAAACAGUUUUAACUGCUAAAUAAAUGUGAACCGGCAAAACAAGGCCAAUUAUUUCCUCUUCUUUCGAAUAUCAAAGAAUGUUUUGCUCCCUCCAUUUCAUUUGUAUGGUGAUGUUUGACUAAAUAUGGAGUUUAUGAAAGAAAAACAAACUUUUGGCACAUUCGAAAAGUACCCUUAGAACUUUUAGUUCUAAAUAUGUCAUCACAUUUCUAUGGCUCUGAGCAUGUCAUUAAUGUAAAAUGGGAAGUUAGAGUUUCGAAAUAUAGAAACGUGUCAUACUUUUUUGGAACAAACUAAAAAGAAGUGUCGUAUAAAAUGGAAUAGAGGGACUAUUAAAUCUGAAUGAAACAUUAUCAAACCACAUUAAGUAUUCUCAAUCUAUCAAUCAACUAUACGUCAAGCCCAAACUACUUUUUACUCUUGCAUUUCUUACAAACUAUUUUCUGAAAAACUAUUUUCUUGAGUUGAGGAUCUAUCGGAGCAACCUCUCUACCCUCGCAAAGGUAGGUGUAAGGUCUGUGUAAACCCACCCUCCCUAGACCCCACUUGUGGGACUAUACUUAGUAUGUUGUUACACUCUCAUCAUUUAUGAUGAUCCCUCCAAACAAGCACUAAAUUUGCAUUGGUUUGGUAAUGCAGGUUCCCAUAUUUGAGAAAAUGGAUGACCAAUUACUGGACGCGUUGUGUGACAGACUGAAGCCAGCACUCUUCACAGAUAAGAGCUUCAUAAUCCGAGAAGGCGAUCCAGUAGAAGAAAUGCUCUUUCUAAUGAGAGGUACACUGUUAACUAUGACCACAAAUGGUGGAAGGACUGGUUUUUUCAACUCUGUUCAUCUCAAAGCUGGUGGCUUCUGUGGAGAUGAGCUUUUAACAUGGGCUUUAGACCCUCAUCCUUCCUCCAGUAGUCUUCCAAUUUCGACUAGAACAGUACAGGCUGUAACUGAUAUAGAAGCUUUUGCCGUCACUGCUGAUGACCUCAAGUUUGUCGCCGCACAGUUUAGACGUCUAAAUAGCAAGCAGAUUCGGCAUACUUUCAAGUAAGUUCCAUUUCAUAACAAACUUCAACUUACUUCAGAUAACAAUUUUAUUUUAUUUGAUGCAAUACGCUAAAAAUUGAGUGACCAUCUGUGAAAUUAACCCUGCACAACUAGUGUAUGAGUUUUGGAGUCAUCCAUUUACACUUGUGCUGGGUAAUGCCAACAUCCUGCCUAUGGCAAGUCCCACGAGGGGUUGGGUGGCCCGGGUCAGAGUCAUGAUUGAACAUGAGGCUUGCUUGGUGGACUUGGUUGAGAAAUAAAGUUGUGCCUUUGCUAUUAGCUAUAGCUUUUAGCAUGAUGGUAAGCGCUUGAUCCUAACAACUUGUGUACUUGGCUAUUUCAGGUUCUGCUCACAGCACUGGAGGACAUGGGGUGCAUGCUUUAUACAAGUAGCAUGGCGUCGAUACUGCAGGAAUAAGCUCGAGAAAUCUUUACGAGAGGAAGAAGAUAGACUGCAGGCUGCAUUGGCAAAAGAGAACACAAAUACAACAAGUCUUGGAGCUACCAUUUAUGCAUCAAGGUUUGCUGCUAAUGCUCUGCGCGCCUUGCGACGUAAGCACGCAACUGGUGCAAAAUUAUCUCCCACAUUACCUCUGCUGCUUCAUAAACCAUCCGAACCAGAUUUCAGUGAGGAAAAUGAUUCAUGAGGUGGGGAGGAUAAUUAACUAGAAAUGUUGGAAGUUGUUCAUAUUGGUGGAUUUACAUUUUCUUU